UCUGAAAUGUCACACAGGUGAACAUUGGUGCUGCCGCCGCCGCUGUGCCAGUUGGAGGUGCUGCUGCUGCAUCUGGUGGAGCUGCAGCUGCCACCCCAAAGGGCAAACCUUCAUCAGACACAACCCCAUAACAGGGCCUCAAGGUUCUGUUCCCCAUCGCCCCUCUUUCUAAAUUACUGAAAUGAAAAUGGCCAGGCUUGAUGUGCCUCCUGUAUCUAUUGCUCGAUUUGUCAUGAUUUGAUUCACCAAGAGUGAUUCUUCUACUAUCUUGUAGUAAGAUUAAAUGGAACAACGAGGGAUGUUUCUAAGUUGGUUAUUGCUAGAAUAAUUCAUCAACUUGAGAUAUGCUGGGAUGUUCUGCCAGUCCUUACUGAAGAAGAUAAGAAUGGAAUUUAAUUGGAUGGUCCCUUUCAUCGUGCUUAAUUAGCUGUAAUUGUGCCCCCCUUACUGAAGAAGAUGAGAAUCCAUAUGUGUUAUGCAAAAUUAACUUUGUCAUCUUGUAAGUGGUCUAGGCAGUGUCGAGAGGGUGAAAAAUAUGAGAACAAAAAAGAAUUACUUGAUUAAUUUACAACAUCCAUCCUUUACUCCGUCCGUGUCAUUGUUGUUUACCCCUGGGAGUAUUUUUAACUUGAAAAUCUCUAGUGAACUGCCAUUUGCAGUACAUUUGCUUUCCUUGUUAAUUUUUUGGGUUACUCCAUCUUGCUCUAUUAAGUAAAAUUUAAUAUAUGGAGUAGCAGCAGUAAGGUAGACCCUCCGUCAAUAGACUGCACCACAGAGGUCACCCUCAUAUGGAUAAUGAAUCAUUAUCCCGUUUCUUGUAUACCUGAGAUGUUCCUAACGAAUAAUUUACUGGACAAACAAUCUUGUUUGCCGUAAGAAUUCUAGCAUGCCAAAAUCUGCUGUCUAUGUAUGCUUCGGUUAAUAUGGACCUGAAUGGCAAGGGCUAGCCAACCUACUUAGCUAGAUUAACAUAACAGGAACAUGACACAACCGGCUAGCUCGUGUUUGCAUUGGCUGCCACAUCGGCUAGCUAGAUGCGACUGCUUAAGGGCUAGUCAACAAAUUUUACAGCAUCUAUGUUGUAGCCAAACACUUGCUCUGUAUUUUAUAUUAAAACCAUGGUAUUGUGUACCUGCCAACUACGAGUAAAUUAUUGCAGUUUUUAAUACUUUGGUUUUUUUGAUACUUUGCUGUUCGAUUUACUUUUAUUUUGUCCCUAAACAUUUUGUUCUACAAUGUGCAGAUGCUGGCAUUUCAUUCAGGACAAAGAAGUUGGAUGAAGCAUAGUUUUACCUCAUUGAGCUAGUUCUGGGAGUAACGAACUCCUUGUAGCAGAACUUGUACGUGUGCUAGUUCUGGGAGCUGAUCCUAUUUGUGUGUUAUAUGAUGUAGCAGAACUUGUAGGUCUCAUGUGAUAGACUUGGGCUGAUACACUUGGGCUGUAUGUGUUAUCUAAUUGUAAACUUGGUGCUGAUCACAUUUUUAUGUAUGUUAUAUGAUGUAGCAGAUUGCUUCCUGUUGUUAUUUGAAAUAUUGUGUCCUGUAUGUUAUAUGUUGUCCUAUGAAUUAGCGGGCUGAAAAUAUUGAUGGGUUGGAAGAGGCUUUGGCCCAAACAAUGCUGGACAAAGAUGGAACAAAAAAAGUCUCAAAAAUAGAAAAUAGACCGCAAAAAGGUUGAGGCCCAGAAAAUGGAAAAGGCUUAGAAAACAAAAAACGCCAUGUUGGGCUAGGCCCAUGUAGCUAGCGAAAAUUAACUGAAAAAA
rnacentral:lncRNA from 1 species